AAAAAAUAAGCAAAUCAAAGUCAUCCAGGAAAUACAUCAGUAUGUACCUGUGUGCCUGAUAGGAAACUUAUUCUGCAGUGCCCAUUACUUCUGAGGAAGCCACUUCUUAUCAACAAAAAUAAUGAACUUUUGGAGCAUUUGUGACACUGUUUCUGGAUGUGUGCCGUCUAGCUGGGAGCUGGCCAGAUUCAGGGGAACUGAGGCCACAGUACAGGAAAGCUCAUGGAAGGAUGGAUGUCUUUGACUCCAUGAAGAACCCUGACUCUACAGACUACUUUGAUGUCAUCUACCCCACUUUAUUGUGUGGUGUUUUAUUGCAUACACAGCAGGAAAUGGUGAUUUCUUUCAGCUGGUUUUGCUCUUUGAGUCAGUGCUUGGAUGGUUGUUUGGAAAAGGCUAUAUUCAAUCUUUCCAGCUGGAACUUUGGGCUCACUCUGUUUCCCAGGGUUCCUUCGAGUUGCUCCAGUGGGAGUCCAGGUCAACCUUUUGCUGUCCAGAUGACCCUUUGGACAUGAAUUUCCAUGUGUGUUCUCAUCCGAAGAGAAGAAAAUUGAGAGGCAACUUGUGAGUUUUGAUGACUGCGCUCUGCCUAGAGUAGAAACCCUCUGCCUCAUCGUGACACACCCAGAGGGGCCCUGCGGGGAGGUCCCACUUGUUUCUGUUGCCUUCCUUUGGUUUAUCAAUGUACCAGCUUACCAAAUGCAUAUCGCUUUCCUUCCCAACCAAGGCCUGUCUUUUCUGGCCCAUUUCUAUUUAAGGAAGAUGAAGCCAUGUACUGAGAUUUGUAUUUGUGAAGAUCUAAGGACAUAAUAACAAGAACUGAGGUGGAACUUUGUUUCCCUUUUCGGCACCUUCCCAGAAGGACAUUUUACACUUUGUUCUUAGGGAAUUUGUCUGUUCAUCUGUUUUCUCCUCGGUGGGCGCCAUUCUUCCUCGCCCGUCUUGAAGUUCACAGUGACAAUCAUGACAUGUGCAGACUGCUGAGCACCGUCCAGGGUGCCACACACCCUACCAUUGCCUGUUGUCUGCUCGACACUGAAGCCCAACUCCAGUUACCAUUGUGCUCGCGAAGGUGCUCAGCCUCCCUCCUGCAUCUGUGUGGCUUCCACAUUCCAGUCCUGCCGCAGCUGAAAGCUACAGAAGGACAGGAAAUACACUUCUUCCUGCUUUGUUCAUCUAGCACCUACCACA